UACGUAGGGAGCGAGCGUUGUCCGGAUUUAUUGGGCGUAAAGCGCGCGUAGGCGGUUUCGUAAGUCGGGUGUGAAAACUCCAAGCUCAACUUGGAGCCUGCAUCCGAAACUGCGAUGACUCGAGUCAGGUAGGGGAACACGGAAUUCCAGGUGUAGCGGUGAAAUGCUUAGAUAUCUGGAGGAACACCAGUGGCGAAGGCGGUGUUCUGGGCCUGUACUGACGCUGAUGCGCGAAAGCGUGGGGAGCGAACAGG
rnacentral:rRNA from 1 species